rnacentral:rRNA from 1 species
AGCUCCAAGAGCGUAUAUUAAAGUUGUUGCAGUUAAAAAGCUCGUAGUUGGAUUUCUGGUGUAAUGCGCCUGGCCCGUGGCCGAUUAGGCUUAUGAGUGCCGGUGCGCGUUCACCAUCCUUCUAGCUAACGGUUCUACCCUUAACUGGGCCGGAAUCGCGAACUAGAUCUUUUACUUUGAAAAAAUUAGAGUGUUUAAAGCAGGCUUUUGCUAUGAAUACAUUAGCAUGGAAUAAUAAUCUAGGACUUCGGUUCUAUUUUGUUGGUUUCUAGUACUGGAGUAAUGAUUGAUAGGGAUAGUUGGGGGUGCUAGUAUUGGCCGGCCAGAGGUGAAAUUCUUGGAUUCGGUCAAGACUAACUAAUGCGAAAGCAUUCACCAAGGAUGUCUUCUUUAAUCAAGA